CCUGGGGGGAGGGGUGAAAGAGGAUAAAUACUGAGCGGAAGUGGAACUCGCUCCUUUCUUUCCUCUGGACUUCUACAGUCCGCCGGAGCUGAAACGCGGAGCGUCAUGCUCUGCUGCUCCGGGAGGAAUCUCUGGCCAUCGAGCCGCCGCUUGCAUCUUUACUAUCUCUAGAGGAGGAAGAGGAGUUAAAUCACAUCUGCCAAGGGAUGUGUCGCACAGUCCUUCUGUUCCCGUGUCAGACGUCACGUGGGUGGGGCCACACCCUCCCAGAGAGGACCAGAAGCUCCCCUGCAGUCUGUACUCUGGGUCCAGUGGGCCUGUAGUGGACAGCGCCAGGUCUCCACGACCUGCCAAUUAAGCCACAAGAUACCACAAGCAACCACAAACAAACCCAGAAGCAACCACAAAACUAAACUAAACAGAAGCCUUUCCUCGCUUCUGGUGUCUGUUGCUUGGUUGGUGGGUUCUGUGGUUGGCCUGCCGUUGAACAAACGACAACCUUUUGUUUCUUCAAAGCUGUACGCCAUUUUCCAACUUGAUGAAAAAAAAUAAACAGUAAAACCAUUGAACAUGUUUGUGUGUGGAUUUUUUAAAUACUUGAGUUACUAAUCACUUCACCUGCAGCAGCAUGUGAACACCCUUACGUGGAAGAAGUGAAUGAACAAAGAACUGAAAGUCAGAUUGUUUCGAAACAAUCGGCCUUCAGGAAGCGAAAGCACAGACAGGGAAGCUCAGACUCAUUUGGAUACAAAACAACCCUGUUUACCUGCAUUAGGUAAUCCUAACCACAUACAUUUCAGGAACUUUUAUUUACAGUUGGCAUUUCUUUAGUUUAAAUUGUACAGAAGGCUUUUUUUUUUUGUUCAAUGCUAUCAUCCGCUAAAAAUGUUAUUUAACACUGAAUUAUCAAAUCCAUAACCAUGCAUGCAUUUGUGCGAAAAAGAACAACGCAGUGGACAGAUUCCAGACAAUUCGCACAAGUCAAUCAGAUCAAGAACAGCUUGCACUUUAUUUGAAUAAUAGUCGCUUGUGUUUUUGCAUCGUUCUUUAAACCUGUUGGUGAAAUAAUGAUGGGAUGGAUGGCAAUUUUCACUUUUCUAAUCCUAUUGUUUUUAAUUGAGCACCCUGUGAACAGAAAUGGAUGUGUAUAUACUAUGAUAUCCACUGUAGUGUGGAAAUUAAGUAUUCAUAAUAAUGAUUGUGUUCUUGGAUCUUGUGCUAAGACUUUAGAACUUGUGCUAAACAACCGUAAACCCUGCCAACAACCAUCUGAUACCAACAACCAUCCAGGGCUAGUCAUGAAGAUCUUCAUUCUGAUGUUUGAUAUGAACAUUCAGUGAAGCUCUUGACCUGCAUUAUAUUUGUGUUGCUGCCAUGAUUGAGCAAGUACCUAAAUGGGCAGGUGUUCCUGUUAAAAUGAGUGUAAAGGUGUCAUCUGCACCUGCUCACGCUCAAGACUCCACUUCCCAGAAUUCACAGCAGCCUUCAAAUAUGACCUCGUCCUCCAUCCUGCACCUCACUGCUCUGUCUCCUGAUGCACUGCACUCCGCUGGGUUCCAUCACAGCAGGCUACAUGACCUCGCACUCUCGGGGCCUGGUCAUGCUGUCUGACUUUAUUCAUUGCAUUUUGCUGUUGAUGUUCUGGUUCAGCUUUUUGCUUUAUAAUUUAGAUUUGUCUGCCUAAAUAAACUCCGCUUUUACA